AGAUUUUUGAAUCUGUGCUGAGAUUUCAUCAGACACCAACCUAUUAGGGCUGAUCAGACUUCUAAGGUAAGUGAAGUU
rnacentral:pre_miRNA from 1 species